rnacentral:lncRNA from 1 species
ACACUGGCUUGAUUUACUGUAGCUUUGUAGUAAGUUUUGAAACUAGGAAGUGUGACUACUCCAUCUUUGUUCUUCUUUUUCAAGAUUGUUUGGCUCUUCUGGGCCCAUUGCACUUAACACCUAAAUUUUAGGAUCAACUUUGAUUUCUGCAAAAAAAAGGUACCUGGGAUUUUGAAAGGUAUUGUGCUGACUCUGUAAAUCAGUCUGGGAGAUAUUGCAUUUUAACAAUAUCAAUUGUUCCAAUCCAUGAAUAUGCACUGUCUUAACACUUAUUUAGAUCUUUAAUUUUUUUCAACAAAAUUUUAUACUUUUCAAUUUAAAAGUCUUGCAUUUUUUUGUUACAUAUUACUAAGUAUUUUAUUCUUUUAGAGAGUGGGAUGGGAAUAGGGCAAGUGAAAACACCACAAAACUCACUGUUUUCACAGAGAUUUAGUCAUUUUUAUUGAAUAAAUGCUCUUCCAAUUGUUGUAAAUUGUUAAUUUGCAAAGUUUUGAAACAACCAUUCUUGCCAGUGUUCUCACUUCUUUCAUGGAGGAGUGGAUUUUCUGAAUUUUUUCUGACAUACCAGAAAUCAGAACUGUCUAUUAUUUAUACCACUGUCUUAUUUUAGUUAUCUGCCUGGUCUCCGAGGACAUUUGAGACAUCAAGGCAGGUGACUCAAACAGAGAUGUAUGACACAGAAGUUCAUCAGGUCACCAGGCAUCGUCAUGGCCAACGAGGUUAUAUUAACAGAUAUAUUGGGUUAAAGUUACCAAUAUGGAGGCCACAGGUAGGGUAGUGUCAAGGAGUCAUACUAGGAGUUGUUCCUCAGUGAACUGAAAGUCAAAGAGCCAUGAAGUGGCCAAUAAUCAGGUUUGUUUCUUGAUAGAGGCUCAAACCAAGAGGAAUAUCAUUACACCCCAAAUCUAGGAGAGACAAAUGCAUCUCAAAUGUCAACAUUAAUCAAUUCAUAGUUGUGACCUGGAGCUCGGUGUUGAGAAGACUCUAAUCACAUGUGGGCUUAGUGCCAAUCACUGAAUCAAUCAAUCAGAUCAACUAGAAAAUAAUGGCCACUCAAAUAGGGUGAAAGAGGAGAUUAAAGGGAUUAUUUAGGGAACUAUGGACAGAGUUAAAGGAAGUUAAUUAGGAGGGUCUUGUACUAUAGGCCAGAAAUAGUGAUUGCUGCUCUGAAGCCUGAACAACCUUCAUUCAGCAGGAUUGAUUAAAGAAAUGAGGGUUUUAGUGACUGAUGUAGAGUGGUUUUGUUUUUUUUUGGGGGGGGGGCACACCUGUGGCAUAUGGAGGUUCCCAGGCUAGGGGUCUAAUUGGAGCUAUAGCUGCCAGCCACAGCCACAGCCACAGCCAUGCCAGAUCUAAGCCAGAUCUGUGACCUACACCACAGCUCAUGGCAAUGCCAGAUCCUUAACCCAUUGAGCGAAGCUAGGGAUCAGACCUACAACCUCAUGGUUCCUAGUCAGAUUCGUUUCUGCUGCGCCAUGACAGGAACACCUAGAGUUCUUUUUUUGGCCACUUCUUGUACCAUAACUGAGGUAGGUUGUAAUAAAAUCCAUACUUUUCCUUAAAAAUUUCAGAAUCUCUUGAUUGUAAAUGCUUGGGUAUAUUUUUAUAGGUGAACAAAUGCAAUUUAUUAUUAACUUCUAUCAAACAUUCCAACUCCAUCUAAUAUAUGAGAGAUUCUAAAUUACCAAGGAGCUGCACUAUAGAUUUAAUUAUCUUGCUGAAUCCUUACCACAAAUAAAUCAGCAUUGCAUUGUUUGAAAGCCCCCAAGACCACUCUCACUUCUGACACUAACUGCAAAUUUGAGGGUACCCAAGAUCCACCUCAGGUUCAAUAAUUUGCUAUGACCCGCGGAACUCACUAGAAGCUCUUAUACUCACAGUUAUAGUUUACUACAGUGAAAAGAUAGACAUUAAAAUCAGCAGAGACAAGAGGCACAUAGGCCAGUGUCAGGAGAGAUCUAAGCAUGACCUUCCAGUCUUCCCAGUGGAUUUGUGGACCCUGGUAGCUUCUCUUAGAAAUGCAUGAUAGAUACAUGAAGUAUUGCCAACUAUGACCCUUACCUGAGUUUUUGUGUCCAGAGUUUUUGUUGAGGUUGGUUGUAUAGUCAUGGUUAACUGUCUGUAUGGCUGACCUUAAUUCUCCAGCCCCUUCAGAGGUCAAACUAAUAUUGCAUGGUCCAAGACCUCCCACCAUAAGUCACGUGUUGCAUAGACCAUCUGGUGUUGUCUCCAGGUUCCCAAGUAAAUAAAGACACUCUUAUCAGGCAGGAUGUCCCAAGUAUCAGAAGUUACGUCACAGGAGCCAAGGGCAAAGGCUAGCUCCUUAGACAAGUUUAAUCCUUUACCACACAAGUAUGUAGAGUUAUAGAAUCGUAAUUUAAAAAACAGAAUGGGGGAUUCCUUCAAGCAGGCAGACAUCUGAUAGGGAUUUUCCUAUUGUCCUUGUAGCUCAUUGAUAUUUAGUGUAUGUAAGAACUAUUAUACACAAAAUUUUGCAUGCUGGACAUCCUGGGAUAUGUGAGGGAAUUUCAAGGGACUUUUUACUUUACAGCUUAACUUAUAAAAAUAUCUUGUCACUAUACCUAAUUCCCACCACAAUGAAAUACAUAAGCAGCUGCUGCUAUAAAGAAAUAAAAACAAAAGCAAACAAAAACACCCUAAAUAAAGAAAUUGUUUUUACAAAAGAAUAUAAUCUGGAAAUUGAACUUCUGCUACAGUUACAAUUUACAUUAUAGCCAUGAACAAGUUCCUGUUGUGGCUCAGCAGGUUAGGAACCCAACUAGUGUUCAUGAGGAUGCAGGUUUAAUCCCUGGCCUCACUCAGUGGAUUAAGGAGCUGGUGUUGCUAUGAGCUGUGGGGUCAAAUUGGAGCUGCAGCCACCAACCUAUGCCACUGCCAUAGUAACGCCCGAUCUGAGCCAUAUUUGUGACCAACACCACAGCUCACAGCAAUGUCAGAUCGCUGACCCACUGAGCAAGGCCAGGGAUUGAACUGCAUCUUCACAGACACCGGUUGGGCUCAUUUCUGCUGAGCCACAGCAGGAAUUCCCUGUCCUUAUUCUUGAAUUAGACUUUAGUUAAGCAUGGAAUUCUAUGUCGACCAUAAUUGCCUUCAGCAUUUUCAAGAUAUUACCCCACUAUCUUGCACCUAUUGUUGUGGGUGAGAAGUCCAUUGCCAUCAUGAUUGUCUUGCCUUUAUAGGCAAGAAUCUCUUUUCUCUAUUUGCUAUUAAAGCUUUUUCUCUUUACACCUGAUGUUUUGUGGUUUCACUAUUACGUGUCCAUUUCAUUUCAUUUUUCUAGCACAAAAUUGUUUGUUCCUUCAACUUGAAGGCUCUCAUUUUUCUUCAAUCCUAGAAAAUUCUCAACCAUUUUCUAGAAUAAGGUCCUGCUGCAAGCGAUACAAAGAAACAAGCAAAGCCCAGAAAACCUCUAAGUUAGUGUGGCUUAUACAAGAUAGAAAUUUCUUUCUCACAUAAAUUAGGUCUUCCAGGUAGUGUCUGAUGAUGCCAGGGGUUCAGGGACUCUUCUAUUUUAUUGAUCCACUAUCCGCAGCAAGCACAUUCUCUACUCAAACUUAAACUAUAACAUCUGCAUUCCAGUUGCUAGGAAGGAAGAAGUACAGAGACGUGCCUACCUCCUCCUUAUAAAUACAUUUCUGGCAGUUGUAACUGCUGUUUUAGUUACAUCUCAUACAUAGUCAUAUGGUCAAUCUAGAUACAUGGGAAGCUGGCAAAUACUGUCUUUAGUUGGGCAGCUGAAUUCCCAGCUAAAACUGGGUGAUUCUAUGAAUAAGGCAGAGGGGAAGAUCGGUUCCUGGGAACAACUAGUAGUCUCAAGCAUAGCCAUUUUUAUGAUUGCAAAUUUCUCUCACAUAUUCUCUAUUAUGUCUCUCUGAAACUCUUAGUAAUGUUCUAUUCUCUUUGCCUCUUUUUAAUGUUAUUUUUGUGUUACUUUCUGUGAGAGUUCUUCAGCUCUCAUUCCAAUUUACUGAUUUCCUUCCUUCCUUCCUUCCUUCCUUCCUUCCUUCCUUCCUUCCUUCCUUCCUUCCUUUCUUUCUUUCUUCACCAUGCCUGCAGCAUAUGGAAGUUUCCAGUCCAGGAAUUGAAUCUGAGCCAUAGCUGUGAUCUACGCUACAGCUGUGGCCAGAUCCUUUAACCCACUGCUCCAGGCAAGGGAUCAAACCUGUGACUCCAUAGCAACCCAAGCUGCUGCAGUCAAAUCCCAAACCUACUGUACCACAGCAGGAACUUCAAAUACCUUCUCUCUCUUUUUAUUUUUGGCUGUACCCACAGCACAUGGAAGUUUUAGGUUCAGUUUUUUUAGUAUAGUUUUUAUUCUCUUAUGUCUCAAAUCAUUCAAGAAUACUUACUUCAUAGUCUCUUUGCUCUGUAUCUGUAAUUCUUGGGGGAUAAAUUCUGCUAACUUCUUCCCAUAGAAGACAUAGAUAUAUAGAUACAGAUAUACAACAUAUACACACGUAUGUAUGUAGAUAUCUGUAUAUAUGUGUAUGUGUGUGUACGCACAUGUGUAUUUUUUUCAUCUCAUCUUGGGUAUUUCUAUGUUUCAUGGUUGUAGGAUUGUAAAGUUUAUGAUGGAGCAAUUUUGUUUUGUCUCUACCAGUGUCCUUCACGUUUCCCUGGUUCAAACCAGUUUUUCUGUUGCUACCUCAGUUUGAGUUUCCUGCACUGUUCAUGAAUACACAUUUGGCCCCUACUCUUGCGUAUAGCUCAGUUUGGGAGGUAUUUCAUGUGGGUGGUAAUCAGUCACUUUCUCCCCUAAUUCUCAGGCUAAUGGGAGGAUAUAUUCUAAAAUACUUUUCACAGCACAAAAGCUAUUCUGGAAUCCUGGUUCUAUGCUCAGCUCCAACUCCACUGCUCUUGGGAUCUCAAUUCCCCUUCCAGCUCAGCUCAGCUAUUAAAAUCCCAGGUCCUGGAGUUCCUGUAGCAGUUCAGUGGAAAUGAACCCAACUAGUAUCCACGAGGAUGCAGGUUCAAUUGUUCCAUCCCUGGCCUCAUUCAGUGGGUUAAUGAUCCGGUAUUGCUGAGAGCUGUGGUGUAGGUUGAAGUCAUGGCUCAGAUCAAGCACUGCUGUGGCUGUGGCAUAGGCUGGCCCCCAGCCUGGGAAUUUCCAUAUGCCAUAGUUCUAGCCCUUAAAAAAGAAAUUAAAAAAAAAAAAAAGGAAAAAAAAAA